rnacentral:rRNA from 1 species
CCCUUAGAUGUCCGGGGCCGCACGCGCGCGACACUGAAGGAAUCAGCGUGGCUUUCUCCCUGACCCGAAAGGGUUGGGAAACCCGUUGAAUCUCCUUCGUGAUAGGGAUUGGGGCUUGAAAUUGUUCCCCAUGAACGAGGAAUUCCCAGUAAGCGCGAGUCAUAAGCUCGCGUUGAUUACGUCCCUGCCCUUUGUACACACCGCCCGUCGCUACUACCGAUUGAACGGUUUAGUGAGGGCCUCGGAUUGGUCUCGGCCCGCUCUUUACCGGGCGGCGCCGUUGGUCGAGAAGACGCUCGAACUUGAUCGUUUAGAGGAAGUAAAAGUCGUAACA